rnacentral:rRNA from 1 species
UACGAGAACCCCAAGCGUUAUCCGGAAUCACUGGGCUUAAAGCGUGUGUAGGCGGGUCGUUAAGUGUCUUGUGAAAUCCCCCGGCUCAACCGGGGAAUGGCUGGGCAUACUGGCGAUCUUGAGCAGUCUAGGGGCAGAUGGAACAGACGGUGGAGCGGUGAAAUGCGUAGAUAUCGUCUGGAACGCCAAAGGUGAAGACAGUCUGCUGGGGACUUGCUGACGCUGAGACACGAAAGCCAGGGGAGCGAACGGG